rnacentral:rRNA from 1 species
GACGAACGCUGGCGGCGUGCUUAACACAUGCAAGUCGAACGGUGAUGCUCCAGCUUGCUGGAGUGGAUCAGUGGCGAACGGGUGAGUAACACGUGAGCAACCUGCCCCAGACUCUGGAAUAAGCGCUGGAAACUGCGUCUAAUACUGGAUACGAAACUGGCCCGCAUGGGCAUGGUUUGGAAAGUUUUUCGGUUUGGGAUGGGCUCGCGGCCUAUCAGCUUGUUGGUGAGGUAAUGGCUCACCAAGGCGACGACGGGUAGCCGGCCUGAGAGGGCGACCGGCCACACUGGGACUGAGACACGGCCCAGACUCCUACGGGAGGCAGCAGUGGGGGAUAUUGCACAAUGGGCGAAAGCCUGAUGCAGCGACGCCGCGUGAGGGAUGACGGCCUUCGGGUUGUAAACCUCUUUCAGCAGGGAAGAAGCGAAAGUGACGGUACCUGCAGAAGAAGCACCGGCUAACUACGUG